rnacentral:rRNA from 1 species
CAUGAGUGGCGGACGGGUGAGUAACGCGUGGGCAACCUGCCCUGUACAGGGGGACAACACUUAGAAAUAGGUGCUAAUACCGCAUAACGGGGGAGCCGCAUGGCACCCCCUGAAAACUCCGGUGGUACAGGAUGGGCCCGCGUCUGAUUAGCUGGUUGGCAGGGUAACGGCCUACCAAGGCGACGAUCAGUAGCCGGCCUGAGAGGGCGGACGGCCACACUGGGACUGAGACACGGCCCAGACUCCUACGGGAGGCAGCAG